rnacentral:rRNA from 1 species
GAUGAACGCUAGCGGGAGGCUUAACACAUGCAAGUCGAGGGGCAGCACGUCUUCGGAUGGUGGCGACCGGCGCACGGGUGCGUAACGCGUAUGCAACCUGCCUUAUACAGGGGGAUAGCCCAUGGAAACGUGGAUUAACACCCCAUAGUACUACUAAUCCGCAUGGAUUAAUAGUUAAAACUUCGGUGGUAUAAGAUGGGCAUGCGUAAGAUUAGGUAGUUGGUGAGGUAACAGCUCACCAAGCCGACGAUCUUUAGGGGUUCUGAGAGGAUUAUCCCCCACACUGGUACUGAGACACGGACCAGACUCCUACGGGAGGCAGCAGUGAGGAAUAUUGGUCAAUGGGCGCAAGCCUGAACCAGCCAUCCCGCGUGCAGGAUGACGGCCCUAUGGGUUGUAAACUGCUUUUGUUUGCCAAGAAUGGUUACUACGUGUAGUAAUUUGACGGUAGCAAAUGAAUAAGGACCGGCUAACUCCGUGCCAGCAGCCGCGGUAAUACGGAGGGUCCAAGCGUUAUCCGGAUUCAUUGGGUUUAAAGGGUGCGCAGGCGGGCUUGUAAGUCAGUGGUGAAAUUCUGCAGCUUAACUGUAGAACUGCCAUUGAUACUGCAAGUCUUGAAUAUGGUUGAGGUAGGCGGAAUGUGUUGUGUAGCGGUGAAAUGCAUAGAUAUGACACAGAACGCCGAUUGCGAAGGCA